CCUACGGGUGGCAGCAGUGAGGAAUAUUGGUCAAUGGACGAGAGUCUGAACCAGCCAAGUAGCGUGAAGGAUGACUGCCCUAUGGGUUGUAAACUUCUUUUAUAUGGGAAUAAAAUGUUCCACGUGUGGGUUUUUGUACGUCCCAUAUGACUAAGGAUCGGCUACAUCCGUGCCAGCAGCCGCGGUAAUACGGAGGCGCCGAGCGUUAUCCGGAUUUAUUGGGUUUAAAGGGAGCGUAGGUGGAUUGAUAAGUCAGUUGUGAAAGUUUGCGGCUCAACCGUAAACUUGCAUUUGAAACUGGCAGUCUUGAGUACAGUAGAGGUGUGCGGAAUUCGUGGUGUAGCGGUGAAAUGCUGAGAUAUCACGAAGAACUCCGAUUGCGAAGGCAGCUCACUGGACUGCAACUGACACUGAGGCUCGAAAGUGUGGGUAUCAAACAGGAUUAGAUACCCUAGUAGUC
rnacentral:rRNA from 1 species